GUUGAACGCUGGCGGCAGGCCUAACACAUGCAACUCGAACGACGGCCGGACGUUUGAGUAAUGUCUGGGAGACUGCCUGAUGGAGGGGGGUAACAACUGAGAACGGUAGCUCAUACGGCAUACCAUCCGAUGUACCCAGAGGGGAUUAGCUAGUGGGUGGGGUAACGGAUCCCCAAGGCGACGAUCCCUAGCUGGUCUGAGAGGAUGACCAGCCACACAGGAACUGGGAAACGGGCGAUGCGCCUACGGGAGGGAGAGUUGGGGAAUGGUGCACAAUGGGCGCAAGCCUGAUGGCGCCAUGCCGCUUGUAUGAAGCAGGCCUUCGGGUUGUAAAGUACUUUAAGCGCGGAGGCGUUAUCCGCAGAAGAAGUAACGGCUAACUCCGUGUCAGCAGCCGCGGUAAUAC
rnacentral:rRNA from 1 species